GCCAGACUCCUACGGGAGGCAGCAGUGAGGAAUAUUGGUCAAUGGACGCAAGUCUGAACCAGCCAAGUAGCGUGCAGGAUGACGGCCCUCCGGGUUGUAAACUGCUUUUAGCUGGGAAUAAAAGGGGGCUCGUGAGCCCCGUAUUGUAUGUACCAUCAGAAAAAGGACCGGCUAAUUCCGUGCCAGCAGCCGCGGUAAUACGGAAGGUCCGGGCGUUAUCCGGAUUUAUUGGGUUUAAAGGGUGUGCAGGCGGAUUUUUAAGUCAGCGGUCAAAUCGUGGGGCUCAACCCCAUCCAGCCGUUGAAACUGGGGAUCUAGAGUGUGCGAGAGGUAUGCGGAAUGCGUGGUGUAGCGGUGAAAUGCAUAGAUAUCACGCAGAACCCCGAUUGCGAAGGCAGCAUACCGGUGCACAACUGACGCUCAGGCACGAAAGCGUGGGUAUCGAACAGGAUUAGAUACCCUAGUA
rnacentral:rRNA from 1 species